rnacentral:rRNA from 1 species
CUACGGGGCGCUGCAGUGAGGAAUAUUGCACAAUGGGGGGAACCCUGAUGCAGCAACGCCGCGUGGAGGAUGACGCAUUUCGGUGUGUAAACUCCUUUUAUAUGCCAAGAAAAUGACGGUAGCAUAUGAAUAAGCACCGGCUAACUCCGUGCCAGCAGCCGCGGUAAUAGGAGGGUGCAAGCGUUACUCGGAAUCACUGGGCGUAAAGGACGCGUAGGCGGGUUGGAAAGUCAGGUGUGAAAUCCUACAGCUUAACUGUAGAACUGCACUUGAAACUUCUAAUCUAGAGUAUGGGAGGGGGAGAUGGAAUUAGUGGUGUAGGGGUAAAAUCCGUAGAUAUCACUAGGAAUACCUAAAGCGAAGGCGAUCUCCUGGAACAUUACUGACGCUAAGGCGUGAAAGCGUGGGGAGCAAACAGGAUUAGAUACCCUGGUAGUC